rnacentral:rRNA from 1 species
UCCUACGGGAGGCAGCAGUGGGGAAUUUUGGACAAUGGGGGCAACCCUGAUCCAGCCAUGCCGCGUGAGUGAAGAAGGCCUUCGGGUUGUAAAGCUCUUUCAGCCGGAACGAAAAGGUUACGGUUAAUACCCGUGACUAAUGACGGUACCGGAAGAAGAAGCACCGGCUAACUACGUGCCAGCAGCCGCGGUAAUACGUAGGGUGCGAGCGUUAAUCGGAAUUACUGGGCGUAAAGCGUGCGCAGGCGGUCUUGUAAGUCAGAUGUGAAAUCCCCGGGCUUAACCUGGGAACUGCGUUUGAAACUACAAGGCUAGAGUGUGGCAGAGGGGGGUGGAAUUCCACGUGUAGCAGUGAAAUGCGUAGAGAUGUGGAGGAACACCGAUGGCGAAGGCAGCCCCCUGGGUUAACACUGACGCUCAGGCACGAAAGCGUGGGGAGCAAACAGGAUUAGAUACCCUGGUAGUCCACGCCCUAAACGAUGUCAACUAGUUGUCGGGUCUUAACGGGCUUGGUAACGCAGCUAACGCGUGAAGUUGACCGCCUGGGGAGUACGGUCGCAAGAUUAAAACUCAAAGGAAUUGACGGGGACCCGCACAAGCGGUGGAUUAUGUGGAUUAAUUCGAUGCAACGCGAAAAACCUUACCUACCCUUGACAUGUACCGAAGCCCGCCGAGAGGUGGGCGUGCCCGAAAGGGAACGGUAACACAGGUGCUGCAUGGCUGUCGUCAGCUCGUGUCGUGAGAUGUUGGGUUAAGUCCCGCAACGAGCGCAACCCUCGCCUUUAGUUGCCAUCAUUCAGUUGGGCACUCUAGAGGGACCGCCGGCGACAAGCCGGAGGAAGGUGGGGAUGACGUCAAGUCCUCAUGGCCCUUACACCCUGGGCUACACACGUGCUACAAUGGCGGUGACAGUGGGCAGCUACUUCGCGAGAAGCGGCUAAUCCCAAAAAACCGUCCCAGUUCAGAUUGUACUCUGCAACUCGAGUACAUGAAGGUGGAAUCGCUAGUAAUCGCAGAACAGCAGGCUGCGGUGAAUACGUUCCCGGGCCUUGUACACACCGC